rnacentral:rRNA from 1 species
AUGGACACCGAGGUGCCCUUUCUUUCCGGCGUGGACGAGGAUGGGCUGCCGCUCGCCGGCGUCUCCGACUUCCGCGGCCGCCCCGUCUACCGCAACACCUCGGGCGGAUGGCAAGCUGCCCUCUUCGUCGUCGCGAUGGAGCUCGCCAGCACUUUCGCCAACUACGGCGUGUCGGCGAACCUUAUCACGUAUCUGACAGGACCAUUGGGCCACUCCAACGCCUCAGCGGCGGCCGCCGUGAACAUCUGGUCGGGGACGGCGAGCCUCAUGCCUCUGUUGGGCGCCUUCCUCGCCGACUCGUGGCUGGGGCGCUACCGGUCCAUCAUACUUGCCAGCACCCUCUAUGCCCUGGGUUAUGGCAUGAUUACUCUAGCAUCGACAAUCCCAACACAACAAACGUCAUCUCUCGACAACGACUACUCUUCCCACCCUUCAUCGGUGAAGGUGGCCUUCUUCUACAUCUCCCUCUACCUCAUCGCCAUUGCGCAAGGCGCGGACAAACCCUGUGGCCUGGCCUUUGCCGCCGACCAAUUCGACCCCGACCACCCCCAAGAAUGCGCUGCCCGUUGCUCCUUCUUCAAUUGGUGGUACUUCUCAAUAGCCAUUGGUAUUGCCGUUGCCGUCGCCUUAGUCAGCUACAUCCAGGAGAACCUUGGUUGGGGAAUUGGAUUUGGAUCUCUAUGUGUCAUCAUGAUCAGCGCCUUCAUUGUUUUCCUCCUCGGCAGCCCCAGCUACCGGCUCUAUGCGCCAACCCCAGGUUCCCAAAGUCCCUUCACCCGCCUCGCCCACAACAUUGCCACACUUUUCAGGAGCUUGAGCUUCUCCUUUGGGACAAUAAGGCAACACCAUCCAAAAGAUGGAGAUGACACGACCAAGUCGGAGGAGGUGCGUAGCGUGCUACGGCUGCUACCUAUCUGGACGGCGUGCCUGGCGUAUGGUGUUGUGUUUGCACACAUUAUGACAUUUUUUAACAAGCAAGGCCGCACCCUGGAUCGCCGCCUCUUUGGCAGUCUAGAGCUGCCGCCAGCCGCAUUGCAGACAUUUGGACCAGCAGCCAUCUUGUUGUUCGUGCCCAUAUAUGACCGUGUGUUGGUGCCAGCACUACGCUGCAUGACAGGCAAUCCUUCGGGGCUAACACCGCUGCAACGUGUGGGCACCGUCAUGGUUGUGUCACUAGCCACUAUGUGUGUGGCCGCAUUGGUGGAAGCCCGACGGCUAGAGACGGCACAUGAGUAUGGUCUAGUGGAUGACGCCCGAGCAACAGUGCCAAUGAGUUGGGUGUGGCUUGUGCCGCAGUAUGUGAUGAUCGGGGUGGCGGAUGUAUUUGCGAUGGUUGGGAUGCAGGAGUUCUUUUAUGACCAGAUGCCAAGCGACUUGCGUAGCCUUGGCUUGGCGCUUUACUUUAGUGUGAUGGGCAUUGGUGGCUUCAUCAGUGGCGCUCUGAUCUCCCUCAUUGACCGUGUCACCAGCAGCGGUGGCGGGGAUAGUUGGUUUGCAGACAACCUCAACCGUGCCCAUCUUGACUACUUCUACUGGCUGCUCGCUGGCCUCAGCGCCAUCGAGCUUGUGCUCUAUAUCCGCUUCACCAUCUCGUAUGUCUACAGGCACAAGAGCCUCCACUAA